GAGGCGUCCGGACUGGCCCAGGGAGGUCGGCAACGACCACCCAGGGCCGGAAAGUUCGUCAAACUUGGUCAUUUAGAGGAAGUAAAAGUCGUAACAAGGUCUCCGUAGGUGAACCUGCGGAGGGAUCAUU
rnacentral:rRNA from 2 species